UUAUUUCUGGACCCUUCCUUGAGUGCUUUUUUUCCUUUUCUUUUCAGAGCAAUUCACUGCAGGAUAUGUUCAGUUCAGAGUGUUCAAUAAUGAGAGAGCGGCCAGUGCCUUGUGUGCUGGCGUGAAGGUCACUGGAUGUGAUACUGAACAUGAUAGUAUAGCAGAACAUUGGGAGGUUGAGACAUGGAAUCAGCAGUUCAAAGCCACUGAAUAUCGUUUAUUAAGUCAGAGUUCUGAAAGAAGACAGGUUUGGAGUCAAGGAGGUAUUUACACACAUGCUGCUGCAUGCUUUGGUCAAGGAUGGAUUGUUUAUAUGACAGUGAUCCAUGGGUAGUAUUGCCUAGAAAUACUAUAGUGAUUUUAGAUUGUUUGAGGACACCGUAUGAUGUUCACACUCUGGC
rnacentral:lncRNA from 1 species